GACGAACGCUGGAGGCGUGCCUAAUACAUGCAAGUCGAACGAGCGGCUGACGGGCGAGUAAUGUAUGGGGACUGCCCGAUAGAGGGGGAUCACUACUGGAAACGGUGGCUAAUACCGCAUACUAUCGGAUAACCCAUAUGGGAUUAGCUAGUAGGUGGGGUAAAGGCUCACCUAGGCGACGAUCUCUAGCUGGUCUGAGAGGAUGAUCCGCCAAACUGGGAAUGAGAAACGGCCCAGACUCCUACGGAGGCAGCAGGGGGGAAUAUGGGACCAUGGGCUCAAGCCUGAUGCAGCCAUGCCGCGUGUAUGAAGAAGGCCUUAGGGUUGGAAAGGACUUUCAGGGGGGAGGCUGUACCCGCAGAAGAAGCACCUGCUAACUCCAUGCCAGCAGCCGCGGUAAUUC
rnacentral:rRNA from 1 species